UGAAUUAUUAAUAAAUAUAUAGUUUAAAAAAAGUUCAAUUGAAAAAAAAAAUUGGUGUUUGAUAAGAAAGCAAAAAAACAAUUUUAUUAAUGCUCAAACUAAAAUAAAUAUUAUAAAUAUGUUUACAUUUAUAAUUAUAAUUUAAGAUAAAUAAAUAUUAUGGUAAAAAGCGGCAUAAGUAUCUAAAGUUUUAAGCUUGUAAGUGACAUAAACCUAAUGUUUAUUUUUAGCGGUAUAAGUACGCAAUGUUUAUUAUAAAACUGUAAUUUUUGUCUAAUUUUGUCAGUAUAGACUAUGUUAUUGUUUUAAACAGGGGACAUACAAGGCCUAAUUUCUAGGUCAUUUGAUCUGAGAAAAACAUGCAGUAUCAAUUACUUCUAAAUAUUCUUUUAAUAAAUUCAAAACGGGGUAUGUGAUGAAAAAAUUGAAAGAAAAUCACAAUUUUACAAAUAUUUGGUACUUAUACCGCUAAAAAUAAACAUCAAUUUAUGCCACUUACAAACUUAAAACGUUAGUUACUUAUGCCGCUAUUUAUCUUAAAUAUUAUAAUAAAGUCUAUUUUGGUCAUUUUAUAUUUAUUAUUAAAUAAGUUAUAUAAUUUACAAAACUUUCAAUAACUUUUCCUCACAACACUGCUGGAACUGUUUUCUCCCACAACACAGGUACAACUGUUUUUUUUUUUUUUCUCACAGUACAACUGUAUAUAUGACCACUCUUGGCGGGAUAGUAUGUGUAGGAAUAUUUUAUUCCUUCUUUACCCCUACACACAGCAAAAAUCUAAUCAAAAGCAAGGUCAAUUAAGACCUUUCUCUCCCAGUCAAAAGCUCCUUUUGACUCUCUGAUUUGAAUCCUCAAAAAUAGGGAAACGACAGCCCCUUUAAUUUACUUUUGGUCAUUUCAAUUUUAAAGCAAAAGAAACCCUAGUCUAUAACAUAUAUAUAUAUUAUCUUUAUCUCUUUUAUUUCACUCAGCACACACACACGGCAGCCCUAAAAUAAACCCUAGCAGAGAAACUAAAUGCCUCCUUCUUCUUCAAUGUUCUUCAAUGAAGAACAUGAAGAACAGCCACAAAACCCACUGCCCAGAAAAUAGAAAUAAACCCCUUCCUAAACCGAUUAUAACCCUAUAAAUCCCAAGCAGAAAAAUAACAAACACAGUAUAAAAUUGCAGAAAGUUUAAAGGAAAGAAUGCACCAGAUUUAUAGAGGUUCCCCAAAAAUUCUGGGUACGUCCUCUUGAGCUCGCCUCUUCCAAUAUAGAUCUUCAAUGAUCAAAGUUUACAAGGCUUGGAUUCCAACUCACAACACUUUGAGAGGUAAUCCGAAUAUAUAUGUAUAUAUACAGUGUUUUAUCUUCCUCUAUUUUCUUCUCUGUUUCUCUCAAAAAUUCAGAACUAACAAUAUUGUAUUUUCCUUCUUUGCAACAUGAACAACCCUUCCUGAGUUGUGGAUCUCCAAACCCUAACUAGGGUUUCAAGGCAAACCCACUAUUGUGCCUUGUUUGGCUCUGAUACCACUGUAGGAAUAUUUUAUUCCUUCUUUACCCCUACACACAGCAAAAAUCUAAUCAAAAGCAAGGUCAAUUAAGACCUUUCUCUCCCAGUCAAAAGCUCCUUUUGACUCUCUGAUUUGAAUCCUCAAAAAUAGGGAAACGACAAAAUUUCCUUUAAUUUACUUUUGGUCAUUUCAAUUUUAAAGCAAAAGAAACCCUAGUCUAUAACAUAUAUAUAUAUUAUCUUUAUCUCUUUUAUUUCACUCAGCACACACACACGGCAGCCCUAAAAUAAACCCUAGCAGAGAAACUAAAUGCCUCCUUCUUCUUCAAUGUUCUUCAAUGAAGAACAUGAAGAACAGCCACAAAACCCACUGCCCAGAAAAUAGAAAUAAACCCCUUCCUAAACCGAUUAUAACCCUAUAAAUCCCAAGCAGAAAAAUAACAAACACAGUAUAAAAUUGCAGAAAGUUUAAAGGAAAGAAUGCACCAGAUUUAUAGAGGUUCCCCAAAAAUUCUGGGUACGUCCUCUUGAGCUCGCCUCUUCCAAUAUAGAUCUUCAAUGAUCAAAGUUUACAAGGCUUGGAUUCCAACUCACAACACUUUGAGAGGUAAUCCGAAUAUAUAUGUAUAUAUACAGUGUUUUAUCUUCCUCUAUUUUCUUCUCUGUUUCUCUCAAAAAUUCAGAACUAACAAUAUUGUAUUUUCCUUCUUUGCAACAUGAACAACCCUUCCUGAGUUGUGGAUCUCCAAACCCUAACUAGGGUUUCAAGGCAAACCCACUGUAAGCCUCAACCACAAACUCCCCUGCUUUGUUGUUCUAUGUUUUUCUGAAGAAGAAUUUGGAUCUGUGUAAAAUCUUCAUUUUGUAUCUGAUCUGGUCUGUUGUAUUGUUCUCUCUUAAAAAUGUUGUUGAUUUUUGCCUUUUAUAUAUGUUGUAGAGGAAUACAGGAAAAGAGUUAAUAAUAAAGUUUUAAACAAACUUUAUUCAUUAACUUAUAAACCUGUCUAGGUAAAUAGAGGCCAGAGGCCACCUAGUAUUUUACUGCCUUGUAAUACUUUGUGUAAUAUUCUGAUUUUUACAGUGUGGUUAAUAUGGGGUUUACUUCAACAG